rnacentral:rRNA from 1 species
GAUGAACGCUAGCGACAGGCUUAACACAUGCAAGUCGAGGGGCAGCAUAAAAGUAGCAAUACUUUGGUGGCGACCGGCGCACGGGUGAGUAACGCGUAUGCAACCUACCUAUCAGAGGGGGAUAACCCGGCGAAAGUCGGACUAAUACCGCAUAAAACAGGGGCACCGCAUGGUGAUAUUUGUUAAAAAUUUAUUGCUGAUAGAUGGGCAUGCGUUCCAUUAGGUAGUUGGAGAGGUAACGGCUCACCAAGCCCACGAUGGAUAGGGGAACUGAGAGGUUGGUCCCCCACACUGGUACUGAGACACGGACCAGACUCCUACGGGAGGCAGCAGUGAGGAAUAUUGGUCAAUGGGCGAGAGCCUGAACCAGCCAAGUCGCGUGAAGGAAGAAGGAUCUAUGGUUCGUAAACUUCUUUUGCAGGGGAAUAAAGUGCAGGACGUGUCCUGUUUUGUAUGUACCCUGAGAAUAAGGAUCGGCUAACUCCGUGCCAGCAGCCGCGGUAAU